rnacentral:misc_RNA from 1 species
UUAACUAUUAUAUAGUACUCAGACAUCACUAAAAUCAAGAGUUGGGUCCUCUGGCGGGCACGUCUCAGCCGGAGCCGAGAGCGCUAAAGCGCGGCCCGCCAAAGCAACAAAGGUAGAAUUAACAUAGGGUUGGGGUUAUGCCACGGCUCGUGCAAGGAAGAUUUCUCUCCCCGCACAAGGGUGUCAAAGACGAAUCUCUAACACCAUACGUACCGGUGAGGGUACGCACCGCGACACUUUGCCAGUUGCCUUACGGCUUCUAGCACUUAUUAAUGAUCCUUCCGCAGGUUCACCUACGGAAA